rnacentral:rRNA from 1 species
CUACGGGCCGCACCAGUAAGGAAUAUUGCGCAGUGGAGGCAACUCUGACGCAGCCAUGCCGCGUGCAGGACUGAAGGCCUUAUGGGUCGUAAACUGCUUUUAUUUAGGAAUAAACUUUCGUACGUGUACGAGACUGAAGGUACUAAAUGAAUAAGCACCGGCUAACUCCGUGCCAGCAGCCGCGGUAAUACGGAGGGUGCAGGCGUUAUCCGGAUUUAUUGGGUUUAAUGGGUGCGCAGGCGGACUAUUAAGUCAGAGGUGAAAUCCCGGAGCUCAACUUCGGAACUGCCUUUAAUACUGGUAGUCUUGAAUACGGUUGAAGUAGGCGGAAUGUAGCAUGUAGCGGUGAAAUGCAUAGAGAUGCUACAGAACACCGAUCGCGAAGGCAGCUUACUAAGCCGAUAUUGACGCUCAGGCACGAAAGCGUGGGGAGCGAACAGGAUUAGAUACCCGGGUAGUC